rnacentral:tRNA from 1 species
GGGUAGAGCUCAGUGGUAGAGCUCAUGCUUAGCAUGUACAAAGUCCUAGGUUCAAUCCCUAGUACCUCCA